AAGAACUAAUUUAUUUUCAGAUUUUAAAAAUUAGAAAAUGAAAUUGAUUUCAUGUUUCGUUCUUCUCAGUUCUUCACUUGGCUUCUCAGCCGCUACGGAGGGUGGAGAUUGCAGAGCCUCUGAAUCUUGCAUCCCUAUUAGAUCAUGCGACGAGAUAGUUCAGCAGCUUCAGAUUGCUAAAUCAACAUCAGACAGGGA